UACAGAGGGGGCAAGCGUUAUUCGGAAUUAUUGGGCGUAAAGGGCGCGUAGGCGGCCUGGCAAGUGGAAGGUGAAAUCCCUCGGCUUAACCGAGGAACUGCCCUCCAAACUGCUUGGCUUGAGUCCGGGAGAGGUGAGUGGAAUUCCCAGUGUAGCGGUGAAAUGCGUAGAUAUCAGGAGGAACACCGGUGGCGAAGGCGGGACUCUGGGCCGAUACUGACGCUGAGGAGCGAAAGCGUGGGGAGCAAACAGG
rnacentral:rRNA from 1 species